CUAGUUGGCGCCUUGAGAACACAAAGAAAUCUGGCAACAGUGCAGCCGCGCCCCUCCCAACCGUCAUCUUGUUAUUGUAGUGACUCACGGCCCACGCUCGUCGCGUAUCACGUAGUCUGUACUCAUCCGCCGACUUGUACACUUAUAGUGUUGUGUUUUCUGUAUUCGUUGCCUCCACUGGUUUGUUUAAUGUUUAGUUUAAUCUGCAGUUCUAAAAAAAUGUCAGUGUGGCUUCGGCAGAAAGGACUUUCUCCACUUUAAGAAGAGUAAAGACUUGGCUGAGAUCAAGAAUGGGAGAAACACGUCUCACGGGCCUUUGCAUGCUUCACGUUCACAGGCAUCUUCAAGUGGACACAGAUAAAAUAAUAGAACGAUUUGCAAAGAAAGGUGCAAGAAGGCUUGAGUUUGUGUUAUAAGUUUUGUAUUUUGAACCAGUAUUUGUUUUAAAAGCCAUCUUGUACACAAUAAACUUGUUUUCAGUAAA